CUGUAAUCCCAGCACUUUGGGAGGCUGAGGUAGGAAGAUCGCUUGAACUCAGGAAUUCAAGCCAACCUGGGCAACAUAGCAAGACCUCACCUCCACUAAAGGGAAAAAACAAUCCAUGUUCCUUUUCUUCCAACCCAACAGAUCUGUGGCUGGGCAGCAGCUGCUGAGCUCAACUACAAUUCCAGCCUGCUUUACAGUUAGGCUUGUCCACAGGACCAAGUUCUCAGUGACAGAGUAAGAGCAGGCCUGUGAUAGGAGCCUCUUCUGUACCUCGGCCUCCAAGCUGCCUAGAAUCUGGCUGUGGCAGUGCCCAAGGGGAGGCGAGCAGCAGGAGAGAAGGGUCCUGGGGUUUGGGGGGACCAGGAGGAGCAGAGCUGCUGCUCAGCUCAGAUCCAUAACCUGAGAAAGAAAGAGGGAUGGCACAUUUUAUGUGUUAACUUAAAUAUCUGGCUACAUCGCUCAGAUAUUUGAUUAGACACUAUUCUAGAUGUUUUUAUGAAGGUAUUGAUUAAUUGAUUGAUUGAUUGAGACAGUCUCACUCUGUUGCCCAGGCUGGAGUGCGGUGGCACAAUCUUGGCUCACUGCAACCUCCACCUCCCAGGUUCAAGUGAUUCUCGUGCCUCAGCCUCCCAAGUAGCUGGGAUUACAGGCAUGUGCCACCAUGCCUGGCUAAUUUUUGUAUUUUUAGUAGAGAUGGGGUUUCACCAUGUUGGCCAGGCUGGUCUCCUGACCUGAAGUGAUCUGCCCACCUUGGCUUCCCAAAGUGCUGGGAUUACAGGCCUGAGCUACCACAACCGGUGAAAGUACUUUUUAAGAUAAGAUUAGCAUUUAAAUCAGAAGAUUUUGAGUAAAGCAGAUUAUUCUCCACAAUGUGGGCAGAUCUCAUCCCAUCAGUUGAAGACCUUAAGAGAAAAGAGACUGACCUGCUCUGAGCAAGGAGGAAUUCUGCUGGCCAACUGCUUGUGAACUCCAACUUGUAAUAUCGGUCUCCAGCCUACCGGCUUACUCUGCAGAUUUUGGAUUUGCCAAGCCUCCACAACCGCAGAAGCCAAUUCCUUAAAAUGAAUCCCUUACAACAGUUCCCUAAAAUAAAUUCUUCAAAAUUCCUUAAAAUAAAUGUGUGUGCAUGUGUGUCUGUGUAUAUAUAUAGCCUAUGUAAUGUCUAAUAUAGAUCUAUAAUAUAUAUUAGAUAAAUAUACACAUACUUAUCAUAUAUAUAUGUGUGUGUGUGUGUGUGUUUCUCCUAUUGGUUCUGUUCUCUGGAGAACCUAAUACAGAAACAAAUCUGUUUAUUCUUCUAGCCUCUGUAUCAUCAGGCCUCUUUGUUAGAGCAGGUGAGCUUUACCCUAACUAAUUCAGAGGUUGAUUCGUUUUCAUGCAUGUAGAUACUUGUCAUUUAGCUUCUAUUAUCUGCCUGUAUUUUAAGGUUCUUUGUCUUAAAAUGUUAUGACUCCAGGAAUGUUAUAUAUUAAGUAUAUUAACCUUUUGACUAUUAUAUAUCUUGCAAACAUCUUGUAAUCAGUCACUUGUCUCUUUAUUUUAUUUGGAGCGGCUUUCAACCUAGAGCAGUGGUCCCCAAACCCGGGGCUGCAGACUAUUCCCUGUCUGUGGUUUGUUAAGAACCAGGCUACAUAGCAGAAGAUGAGUAGCAGGCGCGGGAGCAUGACCACCUGAGCUCCGCCUCCUGUCAGACCAGCAGCGACAUUAGAUUCUCAUAGGAGCACAAACCCUACUGUGAACUGUGCGUAUGAGGGAUCUAGGUUGCACAUUCCUUAAAAGACUCUUAAUGCCUGAUGAUCUGAGGUGGAACAGGUUCACCCUGAAACCAUCCCCCGCUCAGCCUGUGUCUGUGGAAAAAUUGUCUUCCAUGAAACUGGUCCCUGGUGCCAAAAAGGCUGGGGACUGCUGACCUACAAGAUAUAUUAGUUAUGACUCUUGGUGCAUACUCUUGACAGAAAUCCCACUCAACCUAGUAUAAUGCAGAGGACAGUUCACGGAGCAACUCAAAUAAUUGCCACUUUUACAAUAUUGAAGCUUCCUACGGGAAACAUAAUACAUCUCUCAAUUUAUGUCCUUUAAUACGAUUAAACAUUUUUCUUCAUGUAGGUUCUCCAGAAUUUUGGUUAUGCCUAUGCCUAGAUUAUUUAUGAUUGUUGUUGGUAUUGCAAAUGUCCUCUCCUAUUGAUUAUUUAAUGGUAUCUAUGGAAAGUAUUGAUUUUUGUGUAUUUGCUCUGUGCCCACUUGCCAUCUAACUGGUUGUUAUAUUUUAUUGAACCUUUCAAAGGAUAUGAAUUAUGCUGAUUUUAAUGUCUUCUUCUGAUUCCUGCAUUAUUAUCCUGUUUUCUCCAGCGUUCUGUCUACUUCUUCUGCAGGCUGUUGGUUUCCUUCAAAUGUCUGGGGAUUUUUGAUUGUCUGAUCCCAUUUGUAAAUGAACGUCCAGAGAGUGGUUUUCAAAGUGAGAUCCAUGGACCCCUAAGGGUUCUUAAGACUCUUUCUGGGUGUCUGCAAAGCCAAAACUAUUUAAUAGGAAUAAAAAAGACUUGUUUUUCCUAAUGGGUGUUCAGGUGCUCACUUCAGCAGCACAUAUACAAAUGGGUGUUCAGUGGAGUUUUCCAGAGUCUACAUGAUGUGUGUUAUCACUAUAGCUUGAAAGAAGGAGGUAUGAAAAUCCAGCUGUUGGCUGGGCAUGGCGGCUCCUGCCUGUAAUCUCAACACUUUGGGAGGCUGAGGCAGACAGACCACUUGAGGUCAGGAGUUUGAGACCAGCCUGGCCAACAUGGUGAAACGCCAUCUCUACUAAAAAUACAAAAAAAAAAAAAAAAAAAGCUAGGCGUGGUGGUGCAUUCCUGUAAUCCCAGCUACUUGGGAGGCCGAGGCAGGAGGAUUGCUUGAACUGGGAGGCAGAGGUUGCAGUGAGCCAAGAUUGUGCCACUGCAUUGCAGCCUGGGUGUCAGAGUGAGACUCUGUCUCAAUAAAUAAAUUUAAAAAAUUAAAUACAUAUGAAUACAUAAAAAUUAAAUGCAUAAAUACAUAAAAAUAAAAAAAUACAACAACAAAAAAGAAAAUCCAGCUAUUAAGCCAGACAUUGGGGAGUUUUUUUGUUUUGUUUGUUUUGUUUUGAGACAGAGUUUCACUCUUGUUGCCCGGGCUGCAAUGCAGUGGCACCAUCUCAACUCACUGCAACCUCUGCCUCCCG
rnacentral:lncRNA from 1 species